AGAGAGAGAGAGUGUGUGUGUGGGUGAGUUUGUGCAUGUGUAUGCAGGUGCAUGUGUGCAUGACCAGCUUCCUUAGAUGGUGACGCCAGCAUGUCCACCUGGUGGCCCAACCAGCUGCACCAGCAAAGACCAGCAAGAGCGGGAAGAAAUCCAACAAUGACCAGCAGAGACCAGCUAAAACAGCUACCAGCACACAACAUACGGUGCUUAUCGAGCAGGUCCAGAGCAUCACCACUAGCUGACUAAGCGGUUUGAACACCCCGAACACUGCGUGGGCAAAGAUGACUCCAACUGUGGAUUGUGGAACGGAGCAGAAAACGCCACAUCACUUGACUGCAGCACCUAUAAUAUUAAUGUCUAUUAACAUUCUAUUAUUUAAUUACAUUGCAGUGCCUGUUAUCAACAUAUACCGUAGUACUUCACUGCUACAAUGCAUUCAAUGCACAUUAAACAUGUAGGUUUAUAUAAACACAGUAAACAUGUUGGUUUAUUUGGAUGUUGAUGGUAAACACAGUAAACAUGUUGGUUUAUUAGGAUGUUGAUGUUGAAGGUAAACACAGUAAACAUGUUAGUUUAUAUAAACACAGUAAACAUGUUGGUUUAUUGGGAUUUUAAUGUGGAUGCUAAACAAAGUAAACUUGUUGGUUUACAUAAACACAGUAAACAUGUUGGUUUAUAAGGAUGUUGAUGCGGAUGGCAAAGUAAACAAACGCUUGCACUUUCUGUGCAUCUGCAGAAAUGGA